rnacentral:rRNA from 1 species
AUUGAACGCUAGCGGCAGGCCUAACACAUGCAAGUCGAACGAGUGGCGGACGGGUGAGUAAUGGCUGGGAAACUGCCCGCUGGAGGGGGAUAACUAAUGGAAACGGUAGCUAAUACCGCAUACCAUCGGAUGUGCCCAGUUGGGAUUAGCUAGUAGGUUGGGUAACGGCUCACCUAGGCGACGAUCCCUAGCUGGUCUGAGAGGAUGAACAGCCAGACUGGAACUGGGACACGUUCCAGACCUCACCGGUAGGAAGCGGUGGGGAAUAUUGUACAAGUGGCGCAGGCCGAGUGCGGACAUGCCGCGUGGAUGAAGAAGGCCGGCGUGUUGUAAAGUACAUUCAGCGAGGAGGCGUUACUCGCAGAAGAAGCACCGGCUAACUCCGUGCCAGCAGCCGCGGUAAUAC